AUGAGGGGAGUCCAAGCUAUUUGAAACAUUUCAGAUGUUUUCACCAAAAAGAAUAGUUUUUUCCAGAAAAGUCAAAUUCUGCCAAUAUUUAUACUAUAAUUGCUCACAAAAACUAUUUAUUGGUCAGGCUGAAUCUUGAAAGAUAAGAACAGCAAUGCCUUCGGAUUAGAAAAGAAACAAAAAGAAUGGAUAAAGGGCAAAGGGCCCUAAACAUUAUAAGAAAAAUUCUGAGCAACUAACCUUGCUGUGCCCAGUUGACAGCAUUUAAUUAGCAGCACCAACCUGAUCAUUAAGGCCUGAUUGUUGUGCUGGGAUGCUUGGCCACGUGUUUCUUUUUGUCUCAUAUGAUUGUCCCUGGCUUUUCCCAGGCCUUGGAACUGAACUUGCCAAUUCAGGAGCUCACGGUCAUUGCUGGUGCCUGGAAAAGUGUGUUGCAUUGAGUAACAUCUGCAGACCCAGUUCUUGGAAAGAAGUCAGUAACCAUGGAGAUAUGCAUAGUACGAUGCAUUACAGAAUCUUGAGCUGGAAGCAGCCUGGAUUCCUGAGUGACUGUCUGGAGGAGAGAGGUCCUGCAGAGUCAUCCAAACCAGAUGGCAUGGGUGAGAAAUGGACUUAGCUGUAUAAAGCCACUGAGAUGUCAGGAGUAGUGUGUGGCCACAGCUGGCUGCAUUAUCCUGACAAGCACGGACUCUUGGCCGCUGUGCUCAGGCUGAUAUGUGUACUUCACAAUGCCCACUCGCCUUUAGUCAUCAGGCAUCCACCUUCGUUCGUCUGGAGCAUCAGAUUGUGAAUGAGCUGUCCCAAUGGGGCCCUCCAGGAGUCCUGAGAGAAGGGAAGGUGAUUUGUGUGACUUUUGAGCUUUUAAAGUAGAGAAAGCUCUGUCUGAGGACCUUAUCAAGAGCUCAUCAACACCUCAGACCCAUUUUCAGGUGCUUCAGACCUGAUUAAACCCAAAGGGCAGUUUGCCAAGUGCUUCCUCUCCCACCUUAAUUAUUUAGAUUGUGUAACAUUUGGGUAAAAUCUAAUCCAGAUGUUUCUGAUUCAUUUAAGUUUAAAUCACCAGAACAUGCUCUUAAGUUGCUAUUUGAUGUUGAAGAGGUUUUUCCAGCAUUUCCCCCCCUUCUUAAUAUGAGAGGUCACAUUUGGGUAGGGGUAAAUGAGUCCCAUGCACCUAGAGGCUUCAUCUGAUUUGAUUUGAAAACCCAUUUUGGUGAAAUCUGAGUCAGAACUCAAUUUUAUUUUGACCUCCCUUUCAAACCCCUACCUCGGCGUCUCAAAGGGAGAGCUGGAGUAAUUUGCAUGCAGUUGAUAACAGGGAUUCUUGUUUAAAAAAAAAUAUCCCCAGACCUGGCCUUUUCUGGCCCUGUGGUCUGAUUGGAGCCGGUAAGUGGCCACUCCCUUUUUGAACUACAGGAGAAACAAUUCAGGCCAGGUGAGCAUGUUGAUUUCACUUCAUUUUGCUACCUCGGUAUUUGUUCAGCUGAAGCAAAUCAAUCUGACACCAAGUGUCUGAGAACUGAUAAAUGAGGGUGGGCUCAGUGGCUCACGCCUGUAAUCCCAGCACUUUGGAGGCCAAGGUGGGAGGAUCACUGGAAGUCAGGAGUUUGAGACUAGCC
rnacentral:lncRNA from 13 species